rnacentral:lncRNA from 1 species
UGAAUUUUUAAAGCCAUAAUCUUGUUCACUCUUAGAAGUAAAAAAAAGAGAAAAUGCAUUCUUAGGGAAUAAACAUCUGAUAACACAUUCUGAAUGUGGAGACUGAGAUGUCUGAAGGCUGCCUUUUGAACCAGUAGUUUUACCCCAUGAAACAUCACUGUGUUCUUUCUGCACAACCAGUUCAAAAGAUCUCUUUUCUUCGCAGGUUACCAGCCAGUCUUGUCUGGUCAACAGGGAUUCCAAGGCCUAAUAGGAGUGCAGCAGCCACCUCAGAGUCAGAACGUGAUAAAUAACCAACAAGGAACUCCGGUGCAAAGCGUGAUGGUUUCCUACCCAACAAUGUCUUCUUAUCAGGUGCCAAUGACCCAGGGUUCUCAAGGACUGCCCCAGCAGUCAUACCAACAGCCAAUCAUGCUACCUAACCAGGCAGGUCAAGGGUCACUCCCAGCCACUGGAAUGCCUGUUUACUGUAAUGUCACACCGCCCACCCCUCAGAACAACCUUAGGCUGAUUGGCCCACACUGCCCCUCCAGCACUGUCCCAGUGAUGUCAGCUAGCUGCAGAACAAACUGUGCAAGUAUGAGCAAUGCUGGUUGGCAGGUCAAAUUCUGAGAGCUCUGGCUGUGGUACAUUUCUUCAGAUAUUUCUCAUGGCCUUUGAUGGAAGAGGAACAAGGUGGGAAAACUGGCUGAGGACUUAAGUAUUCACUCAACACUCAAAUGAUUGCUGCUGGUAUUCUGUAAAAAAUAAACAAAGACUAAUAUACACGUUAGCUGGUUAAUGGUGCAUAUUUCUGUCAUGUCUGCUAGGUAUGCCUUUAUAGCUUAGCUAGUGACAUGAAUUCAUCAAGGUAAGAUUUUCUCCUACCACUGAAUACCACUGUGUAGAUUAUAAUAUCCCUAAUUUGGAUUAGUUUUGUACUUUGUGUUGAGUUUGUGAUGCUAAAAGUAUUUAAAAAUUAUAUACUAAAUCACAUUGUACCAAAGCUGUAAUGGAAAAGCAAAGAAGAAUUGAUGAAUUGAAGGAAUAAUUUAUAUACAUUAUAGAGUUUUCUUUUUUAAUGGAUAUAUACUGUAUUGUAGUGUUUAAUCAAAAUAAAACUAU